rnacentral:rRNA from 1 species
GACGAACGCUGGCGGCGUGCUUAACACAUGCAAGUCGAACGAUGAAGCUGGAGCUUGCUCCGGUGGAUUAGUGGCGAACGGGUGAGUAACACGUGAGUAAUCUGCCCUUGACACUGGGAUAACUGCGGGAAACUGUAGCUAAUACCGGAUACGACACCUUCGGGCAUCCGAUGGGUGUGGAAAGAAUUUCGGUCAAGGAUGAACUCGCGGCCUAUCAGCUAGUUGGUGAGGUAAUGGCUCAACAAGGCGACGACGGGUAGCCGGCCUGAUAGGGUAACCGGCCACACUGGUACUGAGACACGGCCCAGACUCCUAUGGGGGUCAGCAGUGGGGAAUAUUGCACAAAGGUCGAAAGCCUGUUGGAGCAACGCCGCGUGGGGGAUUAAGGCCUUCGGGUUGUAAACCUCUUUUAGUUGGGAAGAAGCGAAAGUGACGGUACCAACAGAAAAAGCACCGGCUAACUACGUGCCAGCCGCCGCCGUAA